GCUUGCUCACAAUCAUCGCCAUUUUGCUUUUGAAAGGUUGUGUCUAAACAGGAGUGAGAGAUAAACAGGAGCUGAUGGACCGCGAGGAGAGGAGAGGAGAGGAGAGG
rnacentral:ribozyme from 1 species